CAUAUUCAACGGCCAACGCUCGUCUAAAUUACAUAAGACUAAUGAACGUUACAGCUUUUUGAGCAACCACGGUACCACGACAUCAUUAAAAUCAAAACUAUUGGUUCAUCUUAAAUGGCGGCUAGCUGGUUAAAUUCGGCAAGAAAGGUUGAGGCCGAAGAUUCAAUCGAAAUAAGAUGGGCACAUCUAGCGUUUCUCGUCGACUUCGCUGUUGAUCUGAAAAAAUCAUUGCAAUGAUUUAACGAGCAAAGUUUCAACCACUUUGUAUUACAAAUGGCUUCACUUCCUGGUAUGUGGGCAAGAACCAUAAAAAUUGGCAGCCAAAACAUUUAACAUGACUAGUUGGAAACUUGGUCAGGCGUAUCGUCCAGAU